rnacentral:rRNA from 1 species
UACGUAGGGGGCUAGCGUUGUCCGGAAUCAUUGGGCGUAAAGCGCGUGUAGGCGGCCCGGUAAGUCCGCUGUGAAAGUCGGGGGCUCAACCCUCGGAUGCCGGUGGAUACUAUCCAGCUGGAGGGUCGGAGGGGGGACUGGAAGUUCUUGGUGUAGCAGUGAAAUGCGUAGAUAUCAAGAGGAACACCAGUGGCGAAGGCGAGUCCCUGGACGACUCCUGACACUGAGGCACGAAAGCUAGGGGAGCAAACAGG